CCCUUAGAUGUUCUGGGCCGCACGCGCGCUACACUGAUGCAUUCAACGAGUCUAAAACCUGGUCUGAUAGGGCUGGGUAAUCUUUUGAAUGUGCAUCGUGAUUGGGAUAGAUGAUUGCAAUUCUUCAUCUUCAACGAGGAAUGCCUAGUAAACGCAAGUCAUCAGCUUGCAUUGAUUACGUCCCUGCCCUUUGUACACACCGCCCGUCGCUCCUACCGAUUGAAUGUUCCGAUGAAUACCAUGGACUGAGAGUAUGAAUGGGUUCGCCUAUUUCUGCUUCUCGGGAAGUGGAGUAAAUCUUAACAUUUAGAGGAAGGAGAAGUCGUAAC
rnacentral:rRNA from 1 species